UCCCCUCCUGUUUAUAGACUCCCUUUAGGUAUUGAAAGGCUGCAAUGAGGUCACCCCACAGCCUUCUUUUCUCUACGCUUCUCUCAGCCAGUCUUGAGUUGGCUGAGCGGACUUGUUUCCCUGCCUUCUAAGCAGUGCUUGCUGCGUCACACUGGCUAAUCUUUAUCAGCACUCCCUCUUUGUGUGCUGUCUCAGCUUCACACCCUCUUCCUGGUUGCUACUUUGAGGAAAUGGUGUGUAGAGUUCUGUGCACUGAGGAUCGUUGCUGCUUGUGUGGUCCUCUGUGUCACGGAAUGGCGGGUGAUCCAUUUGUCAAGAGGUGAAUUUCUGUUAAGGAAAAAGGUGGUUACUGCUGAAAUAAUCCUUACUCCAAAAUGGGAGGAAACACAGUGUGUUGCAUGGUGUUAAAUAACUUUGUUUCUCUUUACAGCUGAUUCCUGUGAAAUAAAGUGUUUUAUUCUUUCAAGAAGACACUCCAUUGAGAGGAGUUGGAGAGUUUCAUAGGCUCCCUGGAAGUAUGGGCCAAAGCCCAAUAGUGGUAUAGGUCAGGAAAAAGAAUUUACAAGAUUUUCUUUUCUAAAGUAUUUUGGCUCCUCCUGGAGGUAAGCACAGUGAAUUUCUCAGCAUCACGCCUCACAGUAACAACACGGGAGCGGUGGUCUGUCUUCCCCACCGUGCUAUCAGAUGGUGAAGGACUAUCAUGAGAUGUUAAGUAAUUCAGAAAACCUAAACCUUGGCAUCUUGAAAUAUUUGUUGGUAUUGUAGUAAUACUUGCCAUUCUGUCUCUUUAAAUCCAUAUCUUGUCAAAGGAUCUGAGCCAGCUUUUUGCCUUCUCCAUCUUCCCACAAGAGGUCAGGCAUCUUAGAAGAGCAUGUACACCUCACGUAGCUUCUGCCCACCCACCUUAGCCAAUUUUACUGCGUUCAUCACAGAAGAGGAGAAUAUAAAGCUUUUCUGCUACUAUAAUUUCCAGUUUAGUUUUACACAUCUGAAGAAUUUUGAAUUAAAAGCAUCACUCUCUUUUUUUUUUUUUCUCUAUGUGGAUGCUUUUGGCUUUGUUGAAGGGGAAAAAAAACAGACAGUAUUAUAUAUCAGAACAGUUGCUGUCCUUAAACUUUAAGGCUAAGCUUAUGCUUAUGUUUGUGCAGCUGAUACCAAGUAUUGAUGGUAAGUAGUGUGACAGGGUGUGUGUGUCUUUUCUACAAAUGGCAGAAAACAUGGAUAUGAAAUUGUCCAGGAUAAAUUUGCUGACAUAGUAACUACAUACUUUGCUUUUAUGUAUUAAGUAUCACUGAUAUCACCUGCAAUGAUUCCUUCUCUUCCUUCGUCCACCUUGUUUCCAUGCUGCUGCUCUGGAUAGGAGACAAGGAUCCUGCUUUACGGAUGAAAUUACUUCACUGUUUUACUGUGUAUCUAACAAUGUAGAUACUGCUGAUGUCUCAGGAGGGAAUUGAUGUGAAAAAGUAAUGAAAGGAAUGCUUGAUGUGUCUGACAAAUAGUUUCCUGUGUUGUACAGUUUACUCUCGUGAGUUUGGGGGUGCCCAAUAUUUGGCAGGGUAGAUUUUACACAGUUUAGAACUUGGAAUUUUAAAACCUGUAUUCUCUCAAACUUAGGUAAUCUGGAAAUGCUCACACCCACUUACUUUCUGACUGAGCAGGUCUUAAUUGUUAUAGAAUAAUUGCAGAAAUAAGCACUGUCUCAGUUUUCCAUAUGAAAAUACACAAAGUGACUAAAGAACUGAAGGACUGCCUUUGCUGUAUUCUAAAUACAUGGGUAUACUCUGCUUUAAUGCAUUUUUAUGGAAGCUGCUUCAAGUAUUUGUAUGGUCCUGAGCCUGCUAAGCUGUCAUAUUUGUCUGCUUUGCUGUACCAGCAUCCUACGCUGCAGAGACCACAAGUUUUCCUUUUUGCAAAAAUAAAGUUGGUCUGAGUGCACCCAGGUAAGCAACCACUCUUUGCCCUGAGAGUGAAGUGGCUGGAAGUCAUGGAAGAUGGUGCAGAGAAAAGGAUGAGUAGGAACGUGUGAUGUGUUGGCCUUCUGCAAAGAAGCAAUUAGUACAUGUUCGUAUGCUUUCCUUGCUUUUAUCAUGGUAAAUUCUUGCUCCUAAUUAGAAACUGAAAGAUUUUGUUGUAAAUUCAGCCUUCACUGGAUAACGUACUGGAAACAUGUCUGCAAUCCGCAUGAGAAAUGUGUGCAUGUACAAGAUGGAGUGCGAAAACAUUCCUGGAUAAGUUUUAAGUCCCUUUGGAUGAAGGGGGAGAGCUGUAUAGCCACUGGGGCACUGCUGCCUGUAGGGCCUGUGAAAAAAGCAGGUAAAGAUGCAUUGAAAUGAGUGCUCUGAUCCUGACAUUGGAGAAGCUGUUGUGAUGGUUUCCUUCUAUGACGAUCUACAGAAAUGCUUUGUGGAGUGGUAACAGCUUCAAGGUAAGGGUGUGGAUUCAGCUGGGUGUAGGUAAGAACCUCUGUGGUGUGAAAACUUGGGAAAACACAGGUGAGAAUGGAAAGGUUCUGUAACUCAGUGUUGUAAAUGAAACUGGGGGGAAGCAAUUGUUAAAUUUUUAGGAGACCCCAGGAUUCCUGUAAUAACCUUUUUAUAUUCUGUUUUUCAGCACAGGAGGAGCCUCUUCAGGUGUUGUGAACAUGUUCUGCAGUUCAAUAGCAGUUACACAACAUGGGGUGGGAGGUGCACAGGCUACUGCAAGUUGUGGCCUCACAGGAACCAGUUUUAAUAGAGAGGAAACCUCAGGUUCUCUUGGAACUUCCAUGAA